rnacentral:lncRNA from 1 species
GGUCUACCCUUGGGAAGAUAUGCUUUCUCCUUUUAUUUAUUUAUUUAUUUAUUUAUUUAUUUAUUUUUAGUUUUCUCUUUGCAAAGAUAAACUUGAUAAUGUUAUCUUGUAGGGCUGCCUGAAGAUUCAGUAGGGCACUAAGCAAGUAAUUCACAGUGCCUAGUUAGUUUUCUUUACUCCCUUGUCAGAUGAAAUCAUUGUUCUUCACUCUUCAGUCUCUUGACACAAAAGUACAGCUGUAUCAUUUUUCACAGCUUGGAGGAUUAUAAGGUUUGAAACUCUUGGUUUCAAGGGCUUUUUUGUUCAUAUAUUUCCAAUGGCAUGGGGAAACUAUUUUUUUUUAAAAGCUCCGUAUACUUAAUUAAAAAGGUUUCCAGAGUUUGAUCUCAAAGUUAGUGCCUUUAGAGAGAGAGAGAGAGAGAGAGAGAGAGAGAGACUGAUAGAGAUGACUGUGUGGUAACAGAGAUAUUUUAGCCUGGUUUUGUAACUUCAGCUUGCUAUGUGAGGUGCCAGAAGUUAUUUCUCCCUGGGGAGUGCCUCUUUCAACAGUUUGUGAAGGCUGUGUAAAUUCUCACUGUGUUCAAGGAAGAUAGUAAUACAGUUUAGUACAACCAAAGUUUUUAUUUUAUUUUUUUCAAGUUGUUAGAAACCAAAAUGCGAUUGCAGUGGGCAACUUGUCAGCACACUGGAGCUUAACAAGUGUCUGAAGGAUUAGUAAAGGAAAUGCAGUUUACUCUGCAGCUUUUAUGACAAAGAAUUUAAAAGGUUUUGCUCUAAGCCCCACCAUGUGUUUCUUCCUUUUCUCCAAAAUAUACCUCUAGGUUGAAAAGCAAGAUGAAUCUCUCCGGGAGAAACUAUUAACUCUGAGGGAGUUUAUCAUUGUUAGAGAGGCAGCCGGGCAUUUCCAUUUGAAUCCCCUCUUGUGCCCUAAUCUUGUCCUAGAGGUUGGUAAAGAGUUUAAGUACUUCCUACUUUGUGUUUGUGUCCUUGUAGUGCCACCUUAAUUUUCUUGGGACCAUAAAUUUUCUAAUUCGGAAGUAAGUAAACUUUUGGAACCCUGCACCCUUGGCUAUGCUUGGAAAUACUUAAUUGCUGCCGGUCUUCUAAGCAGGGGCAUUGGCCAGAGUUGUCUGUUUUAACAGUAGCUGCUACUCCAUUAAAAAUGUUACAAAGACAAAAUGUGGCAGAAAGUUUGAAAAAGAGGUAGAGUAUCAUCACUUUCCCAUCUCUAAGCUUGAUUAUUCCUGUGUUAAGUAGCUGUUAUUGGUGUACAGUUCAUAUAAGGAAGAAUUAGAUCUUAAUGUUUAUCAUGAAACCUUAUAAUUUGUUUGCUGCAGAAGAGUUUUAGUCUCAGCAGAUGGUUCCCUAUGAUUCCCUAUCAAGUUCUGUGCCUUUUGAAAUGAGACAGAUUUAUAUUUCUUAAAUUUGUUGACAUUUUUUGGCAUUUUUUUUUUUUUUUUUUUGUUGCUUUUGGGGGAGGGAAGUGGGCAGGUGGAGAGGAAGUUAGCUGAGUAAAAAGAAGGCUGAAGUAGCUAUGCAAAGGUAAGUUAUAUUCCACAUGACAGUGUUUUCUCCAGUCAUACCCAUAACAAACCUUAAUGUGUGGCUCCUCCCCCCACAAUUGGUUUAUUUACAUGUACAUUUGUGUGUGCUUGCCUGCAUGCCAUCAUGUGAAUGUGGAGGUCAGAGUGCAUUUUGUAGGCGUUAGUUCUCUCCUUCCACCAUGUGGGUUUGUGAGGUCCGGGAUCAGGAACUCUGAUUUUCAGGUUUGGUGACAAGUGUCUUCACCCACUGAGCCAUUUUGUCUGCUCACAUAAGACAAAGCAAAGCAAAAAGUAUUAUAAAAAGUAAAUUAAAGUAGCAGUAUUAGGGGGUUGGAGAGAUGGAUCAGCCCUGGCUGCUCUUGUAGGGAACCUAGGUUUGAUUCCAAGCAUCCACAUGAUGGCUCAUAAUUGUCUGUAACUCCAGUCCUGGGGGGAUCUGACACCCCCUUCUGGUUUUCUCAGGCACCAGGCAUUCAAGUGGUACAGACAAACAUGCAAGCAAAAUAUCCACAUACAUAAAAGUAAAUCAAAACAUAACAGCAUACUAAUAUUUUAAAAGCAGUUAUAUCAUAAUUGUUUGGCUGCAUUUAAUGCUUGCUUCUUGUUUCCUCCUUAUUUUAUAAUGAGGAAUAUUUCUGCUGAUGGAGUAUUUAGGUCAUGUUAGUCUAAAGAGAAUAGAAGGCACUUACCUAGAGACCUGAUGAUGGAGAAAAGUCUUUGUACUGCUAUCAUGUUUUGCUAUGGUCUGGGCCCAGGGCUGGACUUGGGCAGUAGCUGUGAGAGAGAUAAAGUGUUCCUGGUGAAGGUUUGCUUCUGGGGUGAGGGAAUGCCAUUCAAAUCCAUCCAAAGAGACUGGGUAUAAAUGAUGCUUACACCACACUUGCUGGAUCUAUAGUUUCAUUACAUCCAAUAUUUCUAUGUAAGUAUUUUUGAAACAGCAUCUUUCUGUCUGUUUAAGUCACACUGAUCUGGAGCUCAUCAUGAUCGUCUUGACUCAGCUUCCCUAGUGUUAGAGCUAUAGCCCUAUAUUACCAUGUCUAGCUUUCCAGAGUUCUAUUUUUUUGUUUUUGUUUUUGUUUCCAAGACAGGAGUUCUUUUUAACAAACC